rnacentral:rRNA from 1 species
GCGGCGGACGGGUGAGUAAUGUCUGGGAAACUGCCUGAUGGAGGGGGAUAACUACUGGAAACGGUAGCUAAUACCGCAUAACGUCGCAAGACCAAAGUGGGGGACCUUCGGGCCUCAUGCCAUCAGAUGUGCCCAGAUGGGAUUAGCUAGUAGGUGGGGUAACGGCUCACCUAGGCGACGAUCCCUAGCUGGUCUGAGAGGAUGACCAGCCACACUGGAACUGAGACACGGUCCAGACUCCUACGGGAGGCAGCAGUGGGGAAUAUUGCACAAUGGGCGCAAGCCUGAUGCAGCCAUGCCGCGUGUGUGAAGAAGGCCUUCGGGUUGUAAAGUACUUUCAGCGGGGAGGAAGGCGAUAAGGUUAAUAACCUUGUCGAUUGACGUUACCCGCAGAAGAAGCACCGGCUAACUCCGUGCCAGCAGCCGCGGUAAUACGGAGGGUGCAAGCGUUAAUCGGAAUUACUGGGCGUAAAGCGCACGCAGGCGGUCUGUCAAGUCGGAUGUGAAAUCCCCGGGCUCAACCUGGGAACUGCAUUCGAAACUGGCAGGCUAGAGUCUUGUAGAGGGGGGUAGAAUUCCAGGUGUAGCGGUGAAAUGCGUAGAGAUCUGGAGGAAUACCGGUGGCGAAGGCGGCCCCCUGGACAAAGACUGACGCUCAGGUGCGAAAGCGUGGUGAGCAAACAGGAUUAGAUACCCUGGUAGUCCACGCCGUAAACGAUGUCGAUUUGGAGGUUGUGCCCUUGAGGCGUGGCUUCCGGAGCUAACGCGUUAAAUCGACCGCCUGGGGGUACGGCCGCAAGGUUAAAACUCAAAUGAAUUGACGGGGGCCCGCACAAGCGGUGGAGCAUGUGGUUUAAUUCGAUGCAACGCGAAGAACCUUACCUGGUCUUGACAUCCACAGAACUUAGCAGAGAUGCUUUGGUGCCUUCGGGAACUGUGAGACAGGUGCUGCAUGGCUGUCGUCAGCUCGUGUUGUGAAAUGUUGGGUUAAGUCCCGCAACGAGCGCAACCCUUAUCCUUUGUUGCCAGCGGUUCGGCCGGGAACUCAAAGGAGACUGCCAGUGAUAAACUGGAGGAAGGUGGGGAUGACGUCAAGUCAUCAUGGCCCUUACGACCAGGGCUACACACGUGCUACAAUGGCAUAUACAAAGAGAAGCGACCUCGCGAGAGCAAGCGGACCUCAUAAAGUAUGUCGUAGUCCGGAUUGGAGUCUGCAACUCGACUCCAUGAAGUCGGAAUCGCUAGUAAUCGUAGAUCAGAAUGCUACGGUGAAUACGUUCCCGGGCCUUGUACACACCGCCCGUC